rnacentral:rRNA from 1 species
UACGUAGGUGGCAAGCGUUAUCCGGAAUUAUUGGGCGUAAAGCGCGCGCAGGUGGUUUCUUAAGUCUGAUGUGAAAGCCCACGGCUCAACCGUGGAGGGUCAUUGGGAACUGGGAGACUUGAGUGCAGAAGAGGAAAGUGGAAUUCCAUGUGUAGCGGUGAAAUGCGUAGAGAUAUGGAGGAACACCAGUGGCGAAGGCGACUUUCUGGUCUGUAACUGACACUGAGGCGCGAAAGCGUGGGGAGCAAACAGG